UGACCUUACAUGAAGUUGAAUUGAACAUAGGUACAGUUAGCUGCAAAAAGUAUGUAUCGAAAGAAUUGUACUUGGUACUACACUCUUAUUACGCUGCGGGCUUAGCAUGGUCUUAGUUAUCACGCGAUAUGGUGACAAUCUUGUUGUUAAAAUGACAGUUUUUUCUUCGAUUUUAUCGUUCACACUACGGUUGCAGACGAUAAUAGGAGUUAUCCACAUUUGACAGCGAUAGAUGACAAUCGACAAUUUGCAUAACAUGGUCGUCGGAUAAUUUGACACAUUAUCCCAUUUUGGCAGUUCAAUAUAGUUAAUUUUAUCUACGUGCUUCUUAGGUCACGACAAGCGUUGUCGUGGAUGCAAAGCUCAUGAAAAAACCUAUGUUAAGGUAUAAAUUAUCACUCGCAACUGCUGCAGAGGAAAAAGAAAGAAGAAGGAUUCAGCGACGAUCUUUGAGGGACGCUGCAAACCCCUUUGAUAUGCCGGACGAAGAGUUCCGUCAUAUAGACAGAGUACGAAAGGAGUUAGUGUUAUAUAUUUGUGAAGAACUCAACGCCGACCUCCAGCCUCACAAGGGUGAUGAAUUGCCAUCUCACCUUAAGACUUAAAGACCAAUGGAUAAUAGUUUUUCCUGGAACUGAUCGGUCCCGACGAUCAGUUGCCUCAGGAUUUGAGGAUGCAUAUGGUCUGCCAAAUAUCUUGGGUGUAGUAGACUGCACUCAAGUGAAAAUAUUUCCCACCUGUGCCACACGGAGUGCAAUAUCUGAAUCGGAAAGGCGUUCACGCUCUUAAUGUACAGCUAGUAAGUUUCAAUUUUAGUUACAAAUAAUGAUUUUUUUAUAUUAAUCAUAAAAUCCUCAUCACUGACCACAAUGUAUGUAUAUUAUAAUUAAAUAAAGAAAUAUAAAUACUAUGGGACAAUCUAACACAAAUCGACUAAGAUAAUGAUGUACCUAAUCUAGAUUGAUUAUAAUAAUUCAUUAAAAUAAUAACUUAUAUGUUACUACUUGGUUGUCACCAAUUCUCAAAUAAGAAUAUAAAUAACCUUAUAUCUUCAGAUUGCAGAUGUCAACUGUAAGAUCUUGGCAGUAAACACGAGGUUUCCUGGCCGUGUGCACGACUCUUUCAUAUUUAACAAUUCGUCCAUUUAGGAUGAAUUAAGAAGAUUGUACAAUGGCCACAUUGGGGAGUAUUUCCUUCUGGGUAAGCAGAAAAUUGUGUAUCUGUACCUAGUGUAAAUUUAUUCGAUGGGGAGACGUGACGUACGCGUUUGCGUUAACUGUCAUUUUGUAUGGAAUUUUGAGUUUCCAAAACAUCCCGCUUGGCGCGCUGUUUCUAAAUCCCUUAGCACCACUUGCACCAUUUCACUAACUCGGGGUUAACUGGUUAACCCUGGAGUUACCAUGUUACCAGUACAAUUUCACAUUGGGUUAACGGUUUAACCGGUUAACCCCGGGUUAUUGGAAUGGGGCAAGUGCAUGUUAGUAAAUGUACUAAGAUCACGACCACAGAAUAAAUAGUUCAUGACUAAGUUAAUAUACCUAUCAUAAUGUAAAUAACCGGCCAAGAGCAUGUCGGGCCACGCUCAGUGUAGGGUUCCGUAGUUACUCUUCCGUCACAAUAAGCUAAACUGGAGCUUAAAGUGUAGUAAAUGGUACCUUUCACCCGAGUUAAACAAAUAGGCAAAUUUGCAUAAUCAGUACCUAAUUAAAGAAGUCUUUUUACUAUGAAGGGAAAACUUUUUGCGAUAACUCAAAAACAGCUAAACUGAUCAUGUCCGCUAUAGUUUUCAUUUAAUGUCUUUCUUAAGCUCUACUUCCACGAUUUUUUUCAUAUUUUUUGACCUAUGGUUCAAAAGUUAGAGGGGGGGGACACAUUUUUUUUUCUUUCGGAGCGAUUAUCUCCGAAUAUAUUCACUUUAUCAAAAAAUGUUUCUUGAAAACCCCUAUUAGUUUUGAAAGACCUUUCCAACGAUACCCCACACUUUAGGGUUGAAGCGAAAAAAAAAAAUUCACCCCCACUUUACGUGUAGGGGAGGUACCCUAAAAAAAAUUAAAAUUUUAGAUUUUAUUGUACGACUUUGUCGGCUUUAUUGAUUUAUAUAUCCAUGCCAAAUUUCAGCUUUCUAACACUAACGACCACGGAGCAAAGCCUCGGACAGACAGACAGACAGACAGACAGACAGACAGACGGACACGGCGAAACUAUAAGGGUUCCGUUUUAUGCCAUUUGGCUACGGAACCCUAAAAAGGCAUAAGCAAGGGGGAAGUUUCGUUAGUUGUUCAGAUGAUUAAGUAUUAUGUAACCAAAAAAUAAUAAUUUCAGGUGACUCGGGUAUGCUCUUGAGCCAUGGCUCAUGACGCCAGUGCUGAAUCCUGCCCCGGGAAGCCCAGAAGCAAGGUACACGGUCUGGCACUGUCGCGUGCGCAACACGAUCAAGCGUACCAAUGGGUACCUCAAAAACGUAUUCCGGUGCCUGGGCCACGACCGCGUCUUACACUACAGCCCGACGAAGGCAUCGUCAAUAAUAAAUGCAUGUUGCGUAGUAUACAACAUAAUGCAACAUUAUAGAAAUGUUCCCGAGGAAAUCGUAGGAGAUAUUGAUGAAGACGCUCCUCAAGAACUUCCUCAUCGUCAUGCGCAAAACGGACUACUAUUAAGAGUGGCGCAGGAAAAGCGUGCGCGUCUAAUAAAUACAUAUUUUGCUUA